rnacentral:lncRNA from 1 species
ACAAGACACUCCGUAGGGAAGCUAAGGCACCUAACGUACACACAUAUCCGCAGAUAACCCACACACAUCUCCCCAACUGUCCUAAUCCUUAACUGCUUCACCACCCUCUCUGCCAUAGCUCACACUCCUGUUUUCAAGCUUUAUUUUAUUCUUUAUCCUUGUUUCACUUCCUCCCUCCUAGCCUGACUGUUUACCUCCUACUCACCCUUCAAGUAUUGGCCUACAGGUCACUUCCGGUGGAUGUAGCUUAGUGUGCCUCUGCCCUUUCUUGCCUAGGGUUGCCUGCCUUCCUCUCCCACCUCUGUCUGCAUCUCCUUGGCUCUCUCUGUAAUUGCUUCAUUCUCAUUCCAGCCUCACCA